GACGAACGCUGGCGGCGUGCCUAAUACAUGCAAGUCGAACGCAGUGGGGACGGGUGAGGAACACGUGGGUAACCUCCCAUCAGAGGGGAUAACACUUGGAAACAGGCGCUAAACCGAUCUUGAUGGAGGGACUCGCGGUGCAUUAGCUAGUUGGUGAGGUAACGGCUCACCAAGGCCACGAUGCAUAGCCGGCCUGAGAGGGGGAUCGGCCACACUGGGACUGAGACACGGCCCAGACUCCUACGGGAGGCAGCAGUGGGGAAUAUUCGGCAAUGGACGAAAGUCUGACCGAGCCACGCCGCGUGAGUGAAGAAGGUUUUCGGAUCGUAAAACUCUGUUAUUAGAGAAGCGGUAUCUACCCAGAAAGCCCCGGCUAACUACGUGCCAGCAGCCGCGGUAAUUC
rnacentral:rRNA from 1 species